rnacentral:lncRNA from 1 species
GUAUCCUUUAUAAUAUUUUUUAUAAUACCCUUUAUAAUAGACCAGUAAACAUGGACCCUGACUUCUGUGAGCUGCUCUAGCAAAGUAAUCAAAUCCAAGGAGGGGGCUGUGGGAUCUCUGAUUUAUAGCCGGUCAGUCAGGGCAUGGGUAAAACAACCUGGGACUUCAGAUAGGCGUCGGAAGUCAGGGGCAGCCUUGUGGGACUGAGCCCUCAACCUGCAGUGUCUGACACUAUCUCCAGGUAGAUAGUGUUGGAAUUGGAUUGGAGAAUGCCCAACUGGUGUCUGCUGAAGAAUUGAUUGCUUGCCUCUUGGUGGGGACCCCCUCAUCCAGUAUUUGGUUACAAAAGUCUUCUGUGUAGAUUGUUGUGGUGUGAAAGCAAAGGAAAAACAGUUUGUGUUUUCCACUCACAAAUGUUCUUUGUGAGGCAGGGAAUACGCAAGGGUUUCACCAUAGCAGCUCUCUAUCUGAAACCCUUGCUAGAGAUGACAUCACAUACAUUUCUCUGGGAAUAUAUGUUUCUUCUGUGCCUGUGUAAAAUUUAACAUCAGAAUAAAUCUAACUGUGCCAAUAUCAUAAAAAAGAGGAUUGUUUAUUUCAGUUGUAACAUUGAGCUUUCAUUUUGAUUUCAACUGACUUUGUAUUUCACUUUCAGUUUUUGAUGACUAUCUACGCACAGGCUAUUUAUAAGUAUUUAUAAAUACUCCUAAUUAAAGUAUUGUAGGACUUUCUCUUCAGUUCAGCUAAAAACCAGGUUCUUGUCACACGACCAGGAAAGGUUAGGCUUGUGGACACCUAGAAGGGUGAGAAAAAUGGAAAUUAUUGGGUGAAAAGGAAAAAGACUCUCCACAAAGCAAGAGGGGUUCCUGUUAACAGAUCCCCAUCUCACAUAUUGAAUCCCAGGUCACCGCCCAGGAACAGGAGAGGCCAGGCUCCUCCCGGCUGCAAAUGGUGUGAACUUCUCGAGGCCCUGCCCCAUCCUCCCAGUGCACAGGCUGGUAGAAGGUUCUCUGGGGAGACCUUUUUACUUGGCUGUCUCGAAAACAUAGAAAUAUCAUACAUUUUCGACACGCACAUAUGAAUCACACAAUAAUCAUGGUAGUUAAUAUUAGAUUUAGAUAAUGAAAACAUCCUUUUAUGUACUUCCUUUGUCUUUUUUUUUCUUCUUCAGUUUUCUAUUUUUCAACUAACAUGUUGCUUUGUGUUUCAUUGAAGAUGUACUUUCUGAUUUCCACAUAGAGCUGCAAAUGUCCAGUUCACAUCACAACACCAAGGAGAAGCAGCUCCUUGUUUUUCCUUUCGCCACUUCACCCUCAGGUCCACCCUCAGCAGCCAGCUCUCUGGGAUAGUCCUGAUCUUCUCCCAGCACAAUCAGUUAAAAAUCCCAUUGUAAAUCCUGCUGUUGGGUAAAUGGAAGUCAGUGCGUCAGAAUGGCAAUAAGCACUUACCAGAAUGAAUUGUAUGCAAAAAAAAUCUGAUGCCUUUUCUGUAGGACUGUCUAAAAAAGAGGAAAAUGGUUUAAAUACUCAUUUUAUGCACUACUAGAUAUGUUUCUGAAAAACUGUGUGUGAAUGGAAAACUUUGAACCUAUUUCAAGUGCAUAAGGGUACCUGACUACAUAAAUAAAACCUCUGGAGAAUUCUUUUCAAAAUGGUAGAAUUAAUCUCUAUUUAGUCACUUUCUUAGUUUGGAAUUUUAUAUGGUAGAACCCUCUGCAUGCUAGAAUGUGGUGAAUUGUUUUUUUUCUAGCUUUAAUUUUUGACAACCCUUUGAGAAGCCAGGAGAAAUUAAUCUAGAUGUUGAGGACAGAGAGUCCAUUUCAGGCUUUCUCAUUUUUUGGCAUCUUAUAUGGGGCAAAUCCUUGUGAAGAGGGUUCAGGGUGAAGAGGGCUAAUUAGGCCUCAUGAUUAGGGGAGGAAGGAACCACAGGAUAGAGCCUGCGGGACGGAGCUUGUCAGGGAGGGCUUGGAAGUGCAGAGGUGACCUUGGAUGGUGCAGACCAGUGAUCUUAAAAACAUUUCAGCUAUGGAACCCAUUCUUCAAAGAAGUCGUACUCAGAAGUCUGAUACAUUAAACAUGUAAAAGCCAAGCUGCUCUGCCUGAAGCGAUGUGGGGAGCCUGGAGUCCUGCUGAGGAAGGAACACUUUUAGAUUGGAAAGAUUUUGAUCAUCUCAAAAGUCUUGGAUAUAAAAAUUCAGUCUGUGUGGCAGGGAACAGCUCACUCCUGACUGGUUGAAGAUAGGAGGUUGAAGAAAUAAAUGAACUUGAAGCAGACUUGAAGUUUCAUGCCUGAGAUCCUAAAGUAAGAUAAUGUUUGUAAGGCUGAUUGCUAAUCAAGAUGCCUUAUUUCUCAGAUUUUUUUAAUCUGAAUUAUUCCUUCCUCAACCAACAUCCCGAUUUAGGAGCUGUUAUAAGUCAUCACUCAAGAUAAGGAUUUAAAAGGACUGGAUUGCAAAUGCAGCCAGCAAAGCUUAGAAGCCUAAAGGGGUGGGAAAAUGAACUCCCCAAUAUGGGAAAUAAAUGGCAGUUCUGAUGAUUGGCAAAGCGGUCUGGCUUCUUCCAGAAAUAUUUAUAAAGGCAUAAAUUAAUGGCAUUCCAGUUUCUCAAGGAGAAUGAAAAUAAAAAUCCCCAAACAUUCUAAUUUCUCUAAGAGAAUAUAAACAUAAAAGCAAGAGGGUCCUAACAGUGUCGCUC